rnacentral:rRNA from 1 species
CAGCCGCCGCGGGAAUACGUAGGGUGCAAGCGUUAAUCGGAAUUACUGGGCGUAAAGCGUGCGCAGGCGGUUUGUUAAGACAGAUGUGAAAUCCCCGGGCUUAACCUGGGAACUGCAUUUGUGACUGGCAAGCUAGAGUAUGGCAGAGGGGGGUGGAAUUCCGCGUGUAGCAGUGAAAUGCGUAGAUAUGCGGAGGAACACCGAUGGCGAAGGCAGCCCCCUGGGCCAAUACUGACGCUCAUGCACGAAAGCGUGGGGAGCAAACAGGAUUAGAUACCCGCGUAGUCCCUGUCUCUUAUAC